rnacentral:rRNA from 1 species
AGCAGCCGCGGUAAUUCCAGCUCCAAUAGUGUAUAUUAAAGUUGCUGCGGUUAAAAAGCUCGUAGUUGGAUUUCGGAAUGCGUCGUGCCAAAGGUCGUCCUUGUGGCGUGCCUGGGUGCUCGCUUCCUAGCUUCGGGGUUCCAAGGCUCAGCAAUGGGUCUUCCCGAUCAUUUACUUUGAAAAAAU